GGCCACAAACUUUCAAUCUAUCCAAGCAGUGGUUGCCACACAUACUAUUAUAUGUACUUACUAUCUUUCUGCAAGACGAAAGAACGCAUUAUAUACCAUUGUUUUACAUAUUUCCUAUUCUAAUUUUGCAUGUAAACAUACACAUCAAACAAAGGUUCCUUUGAGAAUGGGUGGCAUUGGAAAGCCAAUACACUGCACAUGGUGCCAUCAUUGGAGAGUCGUCUAGCCAAGUCCCAAGCAAUGGCACACGACGACCCUGGGUCGCAGGACAGAACCCUAGGCUCAUAUUUUCUAUGGUUCAUUCAUAUACACACAGAGGUGAAAAGGAUAGUAUCAAAGUAGUAAAUAAGUAAAUAAAGUU
rnacentral:lncRNA from 1 species